rfam:Zea mays cultivar B73 chromosome 3, whole genome shotgun sequence.
AUACAUUUUUCGGUCUUUUGACUAAAAUAAAGUGUAAUAUUUGUUCUUAUUAGUUUAAUAUUUGGUAUGCGGACUAUAUGUUUUCUUCGAUAUUAAAUUUAUUUUUAUGGGUAUUUUUUAUGGGGAGGGUCUACCACACUGGCUUACUGGGCCCUCACGUAUCGCUCAGCUGUUGCACUGUUGGUAGGGCCUGGCCCACCCAAC